UAGAGGUUACUAGGAGGUGUUGCAGGAGCCUGAAAGAGCAUCCAGCAGGGUUCGCUGCACAUUUCAAGCUGGCUUUUAGCUCAGUUUGUAGCACAAACUGGUCUCAAACUAACAAGGAUCCUCCCUCCUCAAGAAUAAUCCCAAGUGCUGAGAUUACAGGACCUGCGCGCAGUGCGCCAGCAGCCGUAUUCCUUGAACUGGCAGCUAGAGCCCUGCCUGCCCGCCGGUGUUCUCCGAG